GGUCCUACACCUCAGUGCCCCAGAUAUCUGCUAGAUAUCUUGGCGGAAACACAGCCCAGCCACACACUUUCUUACACUCAAACUCUCACAUAAAAGAACACACAACUCAAUAAUCUUAGAUCCAAUUGGUAAGAUAUAAUUGCCCACUUAAACAUACAAAGCCCAGUACCAUCUAUCCCUUGCACCUUCUAUUUGCCAGGUCUCCAGCUUCUCCUUCUCCCACAACGACUCCUCGCUUCUCCCCUCUUUCCAUCUUUUCUUUACUCACUCUCCCAACUAUAUCAACUCUUCCAUGCUUUAGUUUCUCCUUCUCCUACAACGACUCCUAGCUUCUCCCCUCUCUCCAUCUCCUGUCUCCUCUAACUCUUCUCAGUUCCCCAUCGUGUCUCUAAACUGUUCCUUUCCCUCCUAUCUUCAUUUCUCCUCUCUCACUCUCUCCCAACUGUUCAAUCCUUUUUCCCCUUGCUCAGGUUCUACUGGCUCAACUGUCACCAACUGUCUUCUCUCACCCUAUUCUCUGAAUCUAAUCCCCCUCUCGCUCCUGACUCCUCCCUCUGCCCAAAUCUAGCGCUCUUGCCUAGAGAACUCCAAGGCAAACCACAACAAUGAGUAGCUGAACAACACACAACAGACUCCAUAGUUCUUUUGUGUGCUUUUAUUACAGUUUGGUGCUUUGUUUUUUUUUUUUCUGUUUCUAUGGGGGUUUUAUUUUACUUUUUUGGUUUUGGGGGUAGGUGUUGUUGUAUUGGGUUUUCGCUUCUUUUUUGAGGAAAAAAAUAAUAAAGUUGCGGGGGAAAAGAACCUGGAAAGACUUCGGGGAGGGGACUAAUAGUAUCAAAAUGUGUUUAAAUUUAAAUUUUGUUUUAAACAAUAAAAGAAUAUAACAAAAAUUAAACAUCCACUUGUCAUAUUUUCACCAUGUCUUUUGCUCCUCUGUUAUAUUUUCCCUCUAGAGACUUCCACCCAGGUGUUCAUAAAUAGUCCCUGGUCUUAUGAGGAUAUCUCCAAGAUUAAAUCUGAAUUUUGCUCGUGAUUCCAGAAUUAUCAAGACAAUGGAUGAAAGGGAUAUAUGGCAUGUUACGAUGAGGGAGCAUCUCUUUUCCACUGAAUGAGCGAGAGCUAAUGGCUACCCAAGGGGCUUCACUCCCCAGGAACCACGGAAACAUUUGAGGAGCUACACCAAAGGCUCCUGGUGCUGCUGACGCUUGCUCGGCCACUCUGUACGAAUUCCAGAAGGCACUGAGACAGAAGAAGAAUGUUCCCUGGGAACAAGAAUUCAGAAUCCCUCCAAGGACAGGCCUAGAUCUUUCUGGGAGGAAUGUUGAGAUCUAGUCUUGGGGUGGCUGUGGAUAUUAGGUUUGGGAAAACAGAGGACAAAAUGAAACCUUCGCUCUGACAGCACAGGACAAGGUGCUGAUGGAAGAUGUACGACUCCUGUGAAAGUCUCAUUUGACCCCCAAAGGGGUUGAGACCCACAGGUUGAGAACAGACACUGUAGCUGUUGGGGUUUAAAUCUCAGCCUGCGUCCAGACAGAACACACCAAGACAACAUGGUUCCUCGUGGAGAGGUUUAAUGAGAGAAGAAGAAUGGAAGAGGGGAGAAGUAAACGCCAGCCAUGAGCACGUGGGGGGGGGGUGGAUAGGGAGAGAAGGGACAAAGGGGAAGAGCAGGGAAUAGAGGAGAACAAAGGACAAGAGAGGAAUAAGAAAGAGCAAGGAGGGCAAGCAGCCCCCUGUAUAACCAGGCACACCUGGUUGUUGCUCGGCAACCAUGGGAGCGUCCCUGGCUGUUGCUGGGUAGCCGUGGAGGUGGAGCUCAGACAGAAUACCAACAGUAGCCAUUUCUAGUUUUCUUGUUUUGUUUAGGGAUUACCUGGAAGACCUUGUUAAUCUUCAAUAAAUGAAAGUUCUACAUUCCCGAUAUAUGAGAUUAAAACCACCAAUAAAGCUGCGUGUGUCCAGUGUUUAUCUC